UAUUGCUUUGCUCAUGUCGGUCUGUCGGUCCGUCUGUCGGUCCGUCCCCCAGGUGGUUGUCAGACGAUAACUCAAGAACGUUUGGGCCUAGGAUCAUGAAACUUCAUAGGUACAUUGAUCAUGACUCGCAGAUGACCCCUAUUGAUUUUGAGGUCACUAGGUCAAACGUCAAGGUCAUGGUGACCCGAAAUAGUAAAAUGGUUUCCGGAUGAUAACUCAAGAACGCUUAGGCCUAGGAUCAUGAAACUUGAUAGGUAGAUUGAUCAUGACUCGCAGAUGACCCCUAUUAAUUUUCAGGUCACUAGGUCGAAGGUCAAGGUCACAGUGACCCGAAAUAGUAAAAUGGUUUCCGGAUGAUAACUCAAGAACGCUUAGGCCUAGGAUCAUGAAACUUUAUAGGUAGAUUGAUCAUGACUCGCAGAUGACCCCUAUUGAUUUUCAGGUCACUAGGUCAAAGGUCAAGGUCACGAUGACCCGAAAUAGUAAAAUGGUUUCCGGAUGAUAACUGAAGAACGCUUAUUCCUAGGAUCAUGAAACUUGAUAGGUAGAAUGAUCAUGACUCGCAGAUGACCCCUAUUGAUUUUCAGGUCACUAGGUCAAAGGUCAAGGUCACGGUGACCCGAAAUAGUAAAA